AUUGAACGCUGGCGGCAGGCCUAACACAUGCAAGUCGAGCGGUAACAGGAAUAGCUUGCUAUUCGCUGACGAGCGGCGGACGGGUGAGUAACGCGUAGGAAUCUGCCCGGUAGUGGGGGAUAGCCCGGAGAAAUCCGGAUUAAUACCGCAUACGCCCUAAGGGGGAAGCAGGGAGUCUUCGGACCUUGCGCUAUCGGAUGAGCCUGCGUCGGAUUAGCUUGUUGGUGGGGUAAUGGCCUACCAAGGCAACGAUCCGUAGCUGGUCUGAGAGGAUGAUCAGCCACACCGGACUGAGACACGGUCCGGACUCCUACGGGAGGCAGC
rnacentral:rRNA from 1 species